rnacentral:rRNA from 1 species
GACGAACGCUGGCGGCGUGCUUAACACAUGCAAGUCGUACGGUAAGGCCCUUUCGGGGGUACACGAGUGGCGAACGGGUGAGUAACACGUGAGUAACCUGCCCACAACUUUGGGAUAACGCUAGGAAACUAGUGCUAAUACUGGAUAUGUGCUCCUGCUGCAUGGUGGGGGUUGGAAAGCUCCGGCGGUUGUGGAUGGACUCGCGGCCUAUCAGCUUGUUGGUGGGGUAGUGGCCUACCAAGGCGGCGACGGGUAGCCGGCCUGAGAGGGUGACCGGCCACAUUGGGACUGAGAUACGGCCCAGACUCCUACGGGAGGCAGCAGUGGGGAAUAUUGCACAAUGGGCGCAAGCCUGAUGCAGCAACGCCGCGUGCGGGAUGACGGCCUUCGGGUUGGAAACCGCUUUCAGCAGGGACGAAGCUUUUUGUGACGGUACCUGCAGAAGAAGCACCGGCUAACUACGUG